CCUACGGGAGGCAGCAGUGGGGAAUAUUGCACAAUGGGGGGAACCCUGAUGCAGCGACGCCGCGUGGGUGAGGAAGUACUUCGGUAUGUAAAGCCCUAUCAGCAGGGAAGAAAAUGACGGUACCUGACUAAGAAGCCCCGGCUAACUACGUGCCAGCAGCCGCGGUAAUACGUAGGGGGCAAGCGUUAUCCGGAUUUACUGGGGGGAAAGGGAGCGUAGACGGCGUGCCAAGGCUGAUGUGAAAGGCCGGGGCUCAACCCCGGGACUGCAUUGGAAACUGGCAUGCUGGAGUGGCGGAGGGGCAAGCGGAAUUCCUAGUGUAGCGGUGAAAUGCGUAGAUAUUAGGAGGAACACCGGUGGCGAAGGCGGCUUGCUGGACGGUAACUGACGUUGAGGCUCGAAAGCGUGGGGAGCAAACAGGAUUAGAUACCCGAGUAGUC
rnacentral:rRNA from 1 species